AAAACGACUCUCGGCAACGGAUAUCUCGGCUCUCGCAUCGAUGCAGAACGUAGCGAAAUGCGAUACUUGGUGUGAAUUGCAGAAUCCCGUGAACCAUCGAGUUUUUGAACGCAAGUUGCGCCCAAAGCCUUCGGGCCGAGGGCACGUCUGCCUGGGUGUCACGC
rnacentral:rRNA from 1 species